UACUCUCACACUUCUAAUUCCUUUUGGGAUUGGGAGCGGUGGACUUGGGUGUUGCUGCUUUAGUUGUGGCUCACCUCAAAUAAGUUAGUGCAACUCUUGGUUGGACAUAGUACGGCGUGAUAAGUGUCUUCGCCGGCUCCUCGCAAAGAGGGUGGCCGAUCGGGAGCUCUGUUGCUUCAAACUGUCUUCGGACAAUCUUUGACA
rnacentral:misc_RNA from 1 species